rnacentral:rRNA from 1 species
AUUGAACGCUGGCGGCAGGCUUAACACAUGCAAGUCGAACGAGUGGCGGACGGGAGAGUAAUGUAUGGGGAUCUGCCUGAUAGAGGGGGAUAACUACUGGAAACGGUAGCUAAUACCGCAUACCAUCAGAUGAACCCAUAUGGGAUUAGCUUGUAGGUGAGUUAACUGCUAACCUAGUCGACGAUCCCUAGCUGGUCUGAGAGGAUGAUCAGCCACAUUGGGACUUAGCACCGGCCCAGACUCCUACGGAAGGCAGCAUUGGGGAAUAUUGCACAAUGGGCGAAAGCCUGAUGCAGCCAUGCCGCGUGUAGGAAGAAGGCCUUCGGGUUGUAGAGUACUUUCAGUCGGGAGGCGUUACCGACAGAAGAAGCACCGGCUAACUCCGUGCCAGCAGCCGCGGUAAUUC